GAAUUUUUGUUUUAAAGAGUAGGAGGAAGUAAUGAUAUGCAAACGAAGGAAAGGAAAUUGUUCAUCGACGUGGAAAUUGUGCGUCAUGAUAUUCGAAGAAUUAAAGCGUUUUCCGUUUUACGAGAUUGCAAAUCGAA